UGUGUCAGCAGCACACAUAACUAAAAUUGGAACAAUACAGAGAAGAUUAGCAUGGUCCCUGUGCAAGAUCACAAGCAAAUUCGUGACAUGUUCCAUAUUAAA